UUUUUUAAAUUUUCCGCAAUGAUACUUUCUUUGACAAGUGUUUUUUUUAAAAAAAUAUUCUGAUACAAAAUAAAAUUAAUGGAUGGUGAACUUGAAAAGCUGUUCGUAUGUCUGGUAUCUUAUUAGUCCAUAUAAGGAGGAAAGGCAUCACAUGUGUGAAAAGUAUGGACAUUGAAGGAUCUAGAAAUAAUUAAAAAAUAAUAAUUUGAUAGAGUGCUUAUUGAUAUAUACAUGUCAUUUUUUUACUUGUUCUUCUCUAUUUUAUUUUAAUGUUGAAAGGCCCUUACUGAGAUGCCCAUGCCCGCCUAAUGCCUGGGCGCUGUACAAUGGGCUGAGCAGCUACUGCCUGAAAUUACUUUUCAAAGCUUGGAUUCACAACUCGAUAUGGUUUAGGGUUUGAAAAUUCAUGAAAAUGAUUCAUGAUACAAACCUCAAUUGGAUAACUUUUUUAUGGACAUCAUUCAUGCUUCUUCUGAUAUUUUCAAAUAUUGUAUGCAUGCUUCUACCCCUUUUCUUGAUGAGCUAUGCUAAUAUUUGUAGAAUGCAUGUGUGUUUUCUUAAGCGAUUUCUUAAGUGAUACAAGUGUCUGCACCAAUUUUCAGUAAUCUUCUCUCUUAUCCACUGCCCAGAUGCUAAUUGUCAUUCAUCUAUCAAUUAUCAACUAUUCUAUUUGUCCUAUAAUCUUUGUGCCCCAUAUAUUUUGUAGCAUUAUACUUGAAUAAUUUAUAUUUCAGAGUGGACCUUUUGAUGAGGCAUUUGCCGGUUGAUUUGCCUGUGCAUGAACUUCAGAAUGUUAUUAUUCGGUUCGAGGAGAUGCAUACUACAGUUGCAAAUAAGGCCGAGUAUUUCAGAAAAAUAUCUCAAAGACUUCAGAUAAUUGUGAGUGAGAUUCAACAUCCCAUAUGGCUUGGAGAUAUCAACCAUCCUAUUAACUAGAAUCCUGUAUAUCCAAGCAUGUAGCGUAGAAGUUUUCACUUUCAUCAAGGUUAGGGAUCCUUGACAUGGAUGUGAAUAAUUUUUGCUGGAAAUCAUAGAUCUUUUUUGUUUCCAUUUUUUGUUUUUUGCCCUUUGUAAUCUAAAGCAAAAGGUUUUCUGAGGAUUGAAAGAUUGAUUCUUGUAGGACUCAAAAGCACUAUAGGGGAUGGGAUGAAUAUCGAUCA